AUCUUUAAUGAUAAAAAUCACCGAACGAAUUUUAUUUUUUCUUCUUGUUCCUGGUGCAAAAAUGACGACAAAAAACAGGGCUACGUUUUGAUGUUAUCGGCAAGUUUCUAGCAUACACAAAGGCGAAGCGCCGAGCUGUUUUCCCCGACGAUCGCCCCGAUUUGGCCGAGCGGCGGCGCCGCGCGAUCCUGACGCGCCAAAUUUUGGGCCGCGUGCCCCUCAGAAACGGAGGAUAUGUGACUGAAGCGGCACAAAUAGAACCUUUUUUUGACGCUAUGGAUGAAGAAUUUCAAGCCAGGUUCCUACCGACCGGGUGAGGUUGUCGCAGUUGGUACUGAUGUUCAGUCGCAGAAGAUGGCUCAAAAACAGUGACACUUACCUCCUUCCAUCUUGUUGCAGGUGGAGUGUAGAUUGCACCAAGUACCAGAUGUAGCUGAUUUAAGACUGGAGAGCGGAGCGGAGAUAUUGAAUGGUAGAGGUCAAACAUAAUGUUGACAAGUUGUGCAACCAGUGCUUUUAGCAUUAAGUUUAUUAAAGAAUACUGUUGCUACCAGUAACCACAGAAAA